GAUGAACGCUGGCGGCGUGCCUAAUACAUGCAAGUCGAGCGAACGGACGAGAAGCUUGCUUCUCUGAUGUUAGCGGCGGACGGGUGAGUAACACGUGGAUAACCUACCUAUAAGACUGGGGUAACCUCGGGAAACCGGAGCUAAUACCGGAUAAUAUUUUGAACCGCAUGGUUCAAAAGUGAAAGACGGUCUUGCUGUCACUUAUAGAUGGAUCCGCGCUGCAUUAGCUAGUUGGUAAGGUAACGGCUUACCAAGGCAACGAUGCAUAGCCGACCUGAGAGGGUGAUCGGCCACACUGGAACUGAGACACGGUCCAGACUCCUACGGGAGGCAGCAGUAGGGAAUCUUCCGCAAUGGGCGAAAGCCUGACGGAGCAACGCCGCGUGAGUGAUGAAGGUCUUCGGAUCGUAAAACUCUGUUAUUAGGGAAGAACAUAUGUGUAAGUAACUGUGCACAUCUUGACGGUACCUAAUCAGAAAGCCACGACUAACUACGUGCCAGCAGCCGCGGUAAUACGUAGGUGGCAAGCGUUAUCCGGAAUUAUUGGGCGUAAAGCGCGCGUAGGCGGUUUUUUAAGUCUGAUGUGAAAGCCCACGGCUCAACCGUGGAGGGUCAUUGGAAACUGGAAAACUCGAGUGCAGAAGAGGAAAGUGGAAUUCCAUGUGUAGCGGUGAAAUGCGCAGAGAUAUGGAGGAACACCAGUGGCGAAGGCGACUUUCUGGUCUGUAACUGACGCUGAUGUGCGAAAGCGUGGGGAUCAAACAGGAUUAGAUACCCUGGUAGUCCACGCCGUAAACGAUGAGUGCUAAGUGUUAGGGGGUUUCCGCCCCUUAGUGCUGCAGCUAACGCAUUAAGCACUCCGCCUGGGGAGUACGACCGCAAGGUUGAAACUCAAAGGAAUUGACGGGGACCCGCACAAGCGGUGGAGCAUGUGGUUUAAUUCGAAGCAACGCGAAGAACCUUACCAAAUCUUGACAUCCUUUGACAACUCUAGAGAUAGAGCCUUCCCCUUCGGGGGACAAAGUGACAGGUGGUGCAUGGUUGUCGUCAGCUCGUGUCGUGAGAUGUUGGGUUAAGUCCCGCAACGAGCGCAACCCUUAAGCUUAGUUGCCAUCAUUAAGUUGGGCACUCUAAGUUGACUGCCGGUGACAAACCGGAGGAAGGUGGGGAUGACGUCAAAUCAUCAUGCCCCUUAUGAUUUGGGCUACACACGUGCUACAAUGGACAAUACAAAGGGCAGCGAAACCGCGAGGUCAAGCAAAUCCCAUAAAGUUGUUCUCAGUUCGGAUUGUAGUCUGCAACUCGACUACAUGAAGCUGGAAUCGCUAGUAAUCGUAGACCAGCAUGCUACGGUGAAUACGUUCCCGGGUCU
rnacentral:rRNA from 1 species